rnacentral:rRNA from 1 species
CUAAGCAUAUCAAUAAGCGGAGGAAAAGAAACCAACAGGGAUUGCCCCAGUAACGGCGAGUGAAGCGGCAAGAGCUCAAAUUUGAAAUCUGGCCUCCUCCGGGGGUCCGAGUUGUAAUUUGCAGAGGAUGCUUCGGGUGCGGCCCCCGUCUAAGUUCCUUGGAACAGGACGUCAGAGAGGGUGAGAAUCCCGUCUUGGGCGGGCGGCCCGCGCCCGUGUGAAGCUCCUUCGACGAGUCGAGUUGUUUGGGAAUGCAGCUCUAAGCGGGUGGUAAAUUUCAUCUAAAGCUAAAUAUUGGCCGGAGACCGAUAGCGCACAAGUAGAGUGAUCGAAAGGUUAAAAGCACCUUGAAAAGGGAGUUAAACAGCACGUGAAAUUGUUGAAAGGGAAGCGCUUGCGGCCAGACUCGGGGGCGGGGUUCAGCGGGCGCUCGUCGCCCGUGCACUCCCCGCGCCCCGGGCCAGCAUCAGUUUCGACGGUCGGUCAAAGGCCCCCGGAAUGUGUCGUCUCUAGGGACGUCUUAUAGCCGGGGGUGCAAUGCGGCCCGUCGGGACUGAGGAACGCGCUUCGGCUCGGAUGCUGGCGUAAUGGCCGUAAGCGGCCCGUCUUGAAACACGGACCAAGGAGUCUAACAUCCACGCGAGUGUUCGGGUGUCAAACCCGUGCGCGCAGUGAAAGCGAACGGAGGUGGGAGCCUUUGGGCGCACCAUCGACCGAUCCUGAAGUCUUCGGAUGGAUUUGAGUAGGAGCGUGGCCGUUGGGACCCGAAAGAUGGUGAACUAUGCCUGAAUAGGGUGAAGCCAGAGGAAACUCUGGUGGAGGCUCGCAGCGGUUCUGACGUGCAAAUCGAUCGUCAAAUUUGGGCAUAGGGGCGAAAGACUAAUCGAACCAUCUAGUAGCUGGUUCCUGCCAAU